CCUACGGGUGGCAGCAGUGGGGAAUAUUGCACAAUGGGGGAAACCUGAUGCAGCGACGCCGCGUGAAGGAAGAAGGCUUUCGGGUUGUAAACUUCUUUUAAGGGGGAAGAGCAGAAGACGGUACCCCUUGAAUAAGCCACGGCUAACUACGUGCCAGCAGCCGCGGUAAUACGUAGGUGGCAAGCGUUGUCCGGAUUUACUGGGUGUAAAGGGCGUGCAGCCGGAGAGACAAGUCAGAUGUGAAAUCCACGGGCUUAACCCCGGAACUGCUUUGGAAACUGUGCAGCUAGAGUGCAGGAGAGGUAAGUGGAAUUCCUAGUGUAGCGGUGAAAUGCGUAGAUAUUAGGAGGAACACCAGUGGCGAAGGCGGCUUACUGGACUGUAACUGACGUUGAGGCUCGAAAGCGUGGGGAGCAAACAGGAUUAGAUACCCUAGUAGUC
rnacentral:rRNA from 1 species